UGUGGAAUUUUUGACAAUGGGGGCAACCCUGAUCCAGCCAUCCCGCGUGUGCGAUGAAGGCCUUCGGGUUGUAAAGCACUUUUGGCAGGAAAGAAACGUCAUGGGUUAAUACCCCGUGAAACUGACGGCACCUGCCGAAUAAGCACCGGCUAACUACGUGCCAGCAGCCGCGGUAAUACGUAGGGUGCAAGCGUUAAUCGGAAUUACUGGGCGUAAAGCGUGCGCAGGCGGUUCGGAAAGCAAGAUGUGAAAUCCCAGAGCUCAACUUUGGAACUGCAUUUUUAACUACCGGGCUAGAGGGUGUCAGAGGGAGGUGGAAUUCCGCGUGUAGCAGUGAAAUGCGUAGAUAUGCGGAGGAACACCGGUGGCGAAGGCAGCCUACUGGGAUAACACUGACGCUCAUGCACGAAAGCGUGGGGAGCAAACAGG
rnacentral:rRNA from 1 species